rnacentral:rRNA from 1 species
CCUACGGGAGUCAGCAGUGAGGAAUAUUGGUCAAUGGACGAGAGUCUGAACCAGCCAAGUAGCGUGAAGGAUGACUGCCCUAUGGGUUGUAACCUUCUUUUAUAAAGGAAUAAAACGAGGCACGUGUGCCUUUUUGCAUGUACUUUAUGAAUAAGGAUCGGCUAACUCCGUGCCAGCAGCCGCGGUAAUACGGAGGAUCCGAGCGUUAUCCGGAUUUAUUGGGUUUAAAGGGAGCGUAGAUGGGUUGUUAAGUCAGUUGUGAAAGUUUGCGGCUCAACCGUAAAAUUGCAAUUGAUACUGGCAGUCUUGAGUACAGUUGAGGUAGGCGGAAUUCGUGGUGUAGCGGUGAAAUGCUUAGAUAUCACGAAGAACCCCGAUUGCGAAGGCAGCUUACUAAACUGUGACUGACAUUGAUGCUCGAAAGUGUGGGUAUCAAACAGGAUUAGAUACCCGUGUAGUC